rnacentral:rRNA from 1 species
GACGAACGCUGGCGGCGUGCUUAACACAUGCAAGUCGAACGGAAAGGCCCUGCUUUUGUGGGGUGCUCGAGUGGCGAAUGGGUGAGUAACACGUGAGUAACCUACCCUUGACUUUGGGAUAACUUCAGGAAACUGGGGCUAAUACCGGAUAGGAGCUCCUGCUGCAUGGUGGGGGUUGGAAAGUUUCGGCGGUUGGGGAUGGACUCGCGGCUUAUCAGCUUGUUGGUGGGGUAGUGGCUUACCAAGGCUUUGACGGGUAGCCGGCCUGAGAGGGUGACCGGCCACAUUGGGACUGAGAUACGGCCCAGACUCCUACGGGAGGCAGCAGUGGGGAAUAUUGCACAAUGGGCGGAAGCCUGAUGCAGCAACGCCGCGUGCGGGAUGACGGCCUUCGGGUUGUAAACCGCUUUCGCCUGUGACGAAGCGUGAGUGACGGUAAUGGGUAAAGAAGCACCGGCUAACUACGUG